rnacentral:rRNA from 1 species
AAAAACAUCUCCUUUUGAUUUUUAUUUAAGGUAAGGUCUGCUCAAUGAAUAAUUAAAUGGCCGCGAUAUUUUAUCGUGCAAAGGUAGCAUAAUAAUUUGUCUUUUAAUUGAAGUCUAGAAUGAAUGGUUUAACGAGAAAUUAACUUUUUUAGUCAAAAUUUUUUUAAUUUAAUUUUUUAGUUAAAAAGCUAAAAUAUAAUUAUGGGACGAUAAGACCCUAUAAAAUUUUAUUUUUAUAUUUUUAUAUAAUUAUUUAGAUUUUAUUUUUAUUUAAAAUUUAUCAAAAAUUUGGUUGGGGCGACUGUUUAAUUUUAUAAACUUAAAUUUUUUAUUUUCAUUAAUUAAUGAUUUUUUGAUCCUAAUUUUUAGAUUAAAAGAAUAAAUUACUUUAGGGAUAACAGCGUAAUUUUUCUGAGGAGUUCUUAUUUAUAGAAAAGUUUGCGACCUC